rnacentral:lncRNA from 1 species
UUAUAUUCUGAGUGUGGAGGCAACACAAGAAACUUUACAUAUAUGUUUCGAAGGUAAAGAAUAGUUGCUGGAUGUGCACAGUAAUCCUCUGUGAUGUAAAAGUUUAAUAAUUCGAAUCAUGCUGUCUAAUACUACAUCUGUUUUCUCCGAUAGAAUAAGAUCAAAGACCAUCUUUCCCCACCAAGAAUCUGCAUGUUUGUGGUAACUUGUUUUCUUAAUGGAAAUACUCUAAAAGUAAAAUAUAAAAUAUGCUGUCAAAUCAAUUCAUCUGACAGGUUACUGUAGCUGGCAAAGGACACCCAAAUCCAAAAAGCAUUCCACAAGAAAAGAGACAGAGAGGAAGAUGAAGAUCCUGCCUCACAGAAUGGCCCAUGCAUGUCUAGAUGUCCUGGAAGAAACUGCCGAGCGCUGCAGGGGACUAACGGAUAGGGUGGUGUUAUCCACCAGGGAGUCAGGACUUGGAGAUGUCCAAAGGCGAUUUUGCUCUUCUGCUCAGACCCACAAACCACAAACUGAGAAAUGAAGUAGCUCAAAGCUAUGAAAAUCUUUCCAUGAACAAGGAAUAACAGAGAAACUGCCAGUUAAGACAACAUGAAGGGGAUAAAUGCGGAAGAAGAGGAAGUAUAAGAAAAUGUGUGGUGACUAGGCAAAAUAGAUCAAUGGAAGCAAAAUACAUCUGGAAUCUCCCACCAUAAUAAGAGAUGAAGAGAAAUAGCCUAAAAACCACCUAAAGACAAAAAUACAACUCUUUUUUUCAGGAAGCAAAAAAAUAGUAAGAAAUAAUAAGAAAAAAAAGGUACCAAAAGGAAAGGAAAGACAUAAAUGCACCUGACUGGAUAAUUCAGGAAAACAGUCCAAUACAUCUCUAACCCCCUCUCCCCCACCCCCGAAUGGCAUCAUUUGCUCCUCCCUGGAUAGCAGUACAAAAAAGAGACAAGGCAAAGUAUUUUUUGAGACAACUAUUUUGUCACCCAAUAAAAUAUUAUUCACCCCACCUAAUUCUAAGCA